GAAAUGCGAUAAGUAAUGUGAAUUGCAGAAUUCAGUGAAUCAUCGAAUCUUUGAACGCACAUUGCGCCCGCUAGUAUUCUGGCGGGCAUGCCUGUUCGAGCGUCAUUACAACCCUCAGGCCCCCGGGCCUGGCGUUGGGGAUCGGCGGAAGCCCCCUGCGGGCACAACGCCGUCCCCCAAAUACAGUGGCGGUCCCGCCGCAGCUUCCAUUGCGUAGUAGCUAACACCUCGCAACUGGAGAGCGGCGCGGCCACGCCGUAAAACACCCAACUUCUGAAUGUUGACCUCGAAUCAGGUAGGAAUACCCGCUGAACUUAAGC
rnacentral:misc_RNA from 1 species